rnacentral:rRNA from 1 species
GCUUGUCUCAAAGAUUAAGCCAUGCAUGUCUAAGUACAUGUGUAUUAACACGAAACCGCGUAUGGCUCAUUAUAACAGCUAAAAUUUACUUGAUAUUGACUAUAAUCCUACAUGGAUAACUGUGGUAAUUCUGGAGCUAAUACAUGCAUAAAAGCUGAAUCUUUACGGAUUCGGUGCGGUUAUUGGAUCAAAAUCAAACAUCUUCGGAUGUUAAUGAUUGACUUCAAAUAAUUACACAGCUGAUCGUACGGUCUUGUACCGACGACAAGUCAUUCAAGUGUCUGACCUAUCAACUUUCUAUAUAAGUAUAUAGUACUUAUAUGGUUUUGACGGGUAACGGAGAAUUAGGGUUCGACUCCGGAGAAAAUGCCUGAGAAACGGCGUUUACAUCCAAGGAAGGCAGCAGGCGCGAAAAUUACCCACUCUCAGUUCGAGGAGGUAGUGACGAGAAAUGACAAGAUCUAGUCCUUCGGGGCUGGAUCAUUGGAAUGGUUGAUUUAAAACCAUAAAGAG